rnacentral:rRNA from 1 species
GAUGAACGCUGGCGGCGUGCCUAAUACAUGCAAGUCGAGCGAACGGACGAGAAGCUUGCUUCUCUGAUGUUAGCGGCGGACGGGUGAGUAACACGUGGAUAACCUACCUAUAAGACUGGGAUAACUUCGGGAAACCGGAGCUAAUACCGGAUGAUAUUUUGAACCGCAUGGUUCAAAAGUGAAAGACGGUCUUGCUGUCACUUAUAGAUGGAUCCGCGCUGCAUUAGCUAGUUGGUAAGGUAACGGCUUACCAAGGCAACGAUGCAUAGCCGACCUGAGAGGGUGAUCGGCCACACUGGAACUGAGACACGGUCCAGACUCCUACGGGAGGCAGCAGUAGGGAAUCUUCCGCAAUGGGCGAAAGCCUGACGGAGCAACGCCGCGUGAGUGAUGAAGGUCUUCGGAUCGUAAAACUCUGUUAUUAGGGAAGAACAUAUGUGUAAGUAACUGUGCACAUCUUGACGGUACCUAAUCAGAAAGCCACGGCGAACUACGU